UACGUAGGGGGCUAGCGUUGUCCGGAAUCAUUGGGCGUAAAGCGCGUGUAGGCGGUCCGGUAAGUCCGCUGUGAAAGUCGGGGGCUCAACCCUCGGAUGCCGGUGGAUACUGUCGGGCUUGAGUACGGAAGAGGCGAGUGGAAUUCCUGGUGUAGCGGUGAAAUGCGCAGAUAUCAGGAGGAACACCAAUGCGAAGGCAGCUCGCUGGGACGUUACUGACGCUGAGACGCGAAAGCGUGGGGAGCAAACAGG
rnacentral:rRNA from 1 species